GACGAACGCUGGCGGCGUGCUUAACACAUGCAAGUCGAACGGAAAGGCCCUGCGUUUGUGGGGUGCUCGAUUGGCGAACGGGUGAGUAACACGUGAGUAACCUGCCCUUGACUUUGGGAUAACUUCAGGAAACUGGGGCUAAUACCGGAUAGGAGCUCCUGCUGCAUGGUGUGGGUUGGAAAGUUUCGGCGGUUGGGGAUGGACUCGCGGCUUAUCAGCUUGUUGGUGGGGUUGUUGCUUACCAAGGCUUUGACGGGUAGCCGGCCUGAGAGGGUGACCGGGCACAUUGGGCCUGCGAUACGGCCCAGACUCCAACGGGCGGCAGCAGUGGGGAAUCUUGCACAAUGGGCGGAAGCCAGAUGCAGCAACGCCGCGUGCGGGAUGACGGGUUUCGGGUUGUAAACAGAUUUCGAAUGUGCCGAAGCGUGAGUGACGGUAAUGGGUCAAGAAGCACCGGCUAACUACGUG
rnacentral:rRNA from 1 species